rnacentral:SRP_RNA from 1 species
GCCGGGUGUUGUGGUGGGCGCCUGUAGUCCCAGCUACUCGGGAGGCUGAGGCAAGAGAAUCGCUUAAGCCCAAGAGUUUGAGGUUGCUGUGAGCUGUGACACCAUGGCACUCUACCCAGGUCAACAGCUUAAGACUCUGCCUCAAAGAAAAAAGAAAAAGAAAUUAUAAGACAUUAUUUUAGGUAGACAAUUCUUUUUUUUUUCUUGACACAGUCUCACUAUGUUGCCCUCCGUAGAGUGCUGUGACAUCACAGCUCACAGCAACCUCAAACUCUUGAGCUUAAGUGAUUGUCUUGCCUCAA